rnacentral:rRNA from 1 species
UACGUAGGGGGCAAGCGUUGUCCGGAAUCAUUGGGCGUAAAGCGCGUGUAGGCGGUCCGAUUAGUCGGCUGUGAAAGUCAAGGGCUCAACCCUUGAAUGCCGGUCGAUACUGUCGGACUAGAGUCCGGAAGAGGCAAGUAGGAAUUCCCGGUGGUCAGCGGUGAAAUGCGUAGAUAUUGGGAGGAACACCAGUGGCGAAGGCGGCUCACUGGACCGGUACUGGACGCUGAUGCGCGAAAGCGUGGGGAGCAAACGGG